ensembl:lncRNA
UUUCCCCCCCUUUUUUUUUACAUUUUUCGUGAUUUUUUCCCCUUUUUUAUUUUGAUUUCCCCCCCCCAUUUCCCCCCAAUUUUUAUUCUUUUUUCUCAUUUUCUGACCCAUUUUUCCCCUUUUCUCUCCCCUCCCCCCGGAAGCGCCUCUUCGCCGCUUUUGGGUGAAAAAAACCCCAAAAAGGGGAACCGAAAAUGCCGAAAAUUCAAAUUUCGCUGCUCGGGGGCGGCCAAAACCUCCGAAUUUCACCUGAAAAAUCCGAAUUUCAGCCCAAAACCUCCGAAUUUCAGCCCAAAAAUCUGAACUCGGCGCCGGAACAGGAUUUGGGGUUCGGCGCCGCCAUGGCCCAGCCGGGGCCCUACGGGAACUGGAUCGGCCCCGGGCGGCUCCAGCGGCAGCCGGGAAUUUACUCCGUGGCCGGGAGGAUUUCCCCAGUGGGCGACUUCAGACCCGCCUCUCCCGACAGUUUCGAGGCCGAUUACGACGACGUUUCCAUGGCGGGAUCCGAGCGGGGCCCCCCGGCCAAAGGCGUUUAUCUCCUGGCGGGGCCUCCCCAGGAGGAUCCCGAAGAUUCCCAACGGAAAUUUGGGAAUUCCGAGCCCGAAUCCGGGAAUUCUGACCGGAAAUCCGGGAAUGGGGACCGGAAAUCCGGGAACUCGGACCGGAAAUCCGGGCAGCGGGACCGGAAGUGCGGGCCAUGGGCAAUGGCGGCCGCCAUGGCGCUGCUGGGCCUGGCCUGGGGGGGGCUCCUGGCGGCGGCCGUGGGGAAACACCAGGCGCUGUGGGCGGAGCUGGAGCUGCUGAAAUCGAAUUUUUCGGCUGUUCUGGAUUCCCUGCAGCAGGAGCAGACCCGGCUCCAUUUCGGGAUCCGGCAGCACCAACUGGAGCAGGAGGAGCAGGCCGCUUUUCCUGGUGCAGAACAGCAACCGCAGCAGCUCCUACUGGCUGGGGGUGACGGACGCGGAGCAGGAGGGGAAAUGGCGCUGGGUCAACGGCGAGGAGCCGCAGAUCGGGUUUUGGGACGUGUGGCUGCAGGAGGAGCAGCAGGAGCUGAAGGAUUGCGGCGCCCUGGGGCCCAAAGGGCGCUGGGUGAGCGCGGCCUGUGCGGAGCCGCUGCGCUGGGUCUGCGAGAGGCCCGGACACUGCUGAAAUUCCCUUUUUUUCACCCAAAAAUUCCCCCCAAAAUGAAAAAAAAACUCCCUAAAAAUCCCUCAAAAAUUCCGCAAAAAACCCGGCAAAAAUCCCCCAAAAAUCCCUCAAAAAAUACUGUUUUUAUUAAAGAAUUUGUGCCAAAAAAUCUGAAUUUUUUUUAAGGAUUUGUGUCAAAAAUCCCGCAAAAAAUGCCGAUUUUAUUCAGGGUUUUUUAUUGCUAAAAAAUCCAAUUUUUAAAAGGAUUUUCAGCCAAAAAUCCCCAAAAAAUCCCCAAGAAAUCCCCCCAAAAAUCCCCCCCAAAAAAUCACAAAAAUAUCCCUUAAAAAAUCCCCAAAAAUUACCAAAAAAUACCAAAUAAACUCAAAAAAAAUCCACAAAAAUCCAAAAAACAUCCCAAAACAUCCCCUAAAAAUCCCCCAAAAAUACCAAAACCCCAAAAAAAAUCCCCCCAAAAUCCCAAAAAUACCCCAAAAAUACCUCCAAAAAAUCUAAAAAUUACCUUAAAAAAUCCCCCCCCAAAAUACUAAAAAAUCAAAAAAAAAUCCCGAAAGAAUCCCCAAAGAUCCCCAAAAAUCCCCAAAAAAAUCACCAAAAAAUCCCCAAAAAACUCAAAAAAUCGCAAAAAAAUCCCUCCAAAAAUCAAAAAAAAAUCCCCCCCAAAAAAAUCCAAAAAAAUCCCCAAAUAAUCCCUUAAAAAAAAAUCACAAAAAAAUUCCCAAAACUCAAAAAAAUCCUAAAAAAAAUCCCAAAAAAUCCCCCAAAAUCCCCCAAAAAUUCCGAUUUUUAAAGGGAUUUUUUCCAAAAAUCACAAAUAACGCCAAAAACGUCCAAAAAUCCCAAAUCCUCCUAAAUUAACCCCAAAUCCACCCAAAAAAUACAAAUCGCUCCUCAAAAAAUACCCAAAAUAUCUCAAAUCAUGCCAAGUCUUCUGAAAAUGACCCCAAAAAUGUCGAAAAACCCCAAAUCCCUCCCCAAAAACCCCAAAUCCACCCAAAAUAACCCCAAAAAUCCCUAAAUCCACCCAAAAUAACCCAAAAACCACCCAAAAGACCCCAAAAGAUCCCAAAAAUCCUCAAAUCACUCCCAAAAAAACCCCAAAUCAAGCCAAAAUGACCCAAAUCCACUCAAAAUAACCCCAAAUCCCCAAAUCGAGCCCAAAACCCCCCCAAAAUCCCCAAAUCCUCCCCAAAUCCACCCAAAAUAACCCCAAAUCCACCCAAAAUAACCCCAAAAAUCCCCAAAUCAACCCAAAAUAACCCAAAAACCACCCAAAAGACCCCAAAAGGUCCCAAAAAUCCUCAAAUCCCUCCCAAAAAAACCCAAAUCAAGCCAAAAUGACCCAAAUCCUCCCCAAAUAACCCCAAAACCGCCCCAAAAAAUCCAAAUCCCUCCCAAAAAAAACCACCAAGAGAUCCCAAAAAACCCCAAAUCCUCCCAAAUUAACCCGAAAACAGCAGGAAACGUGAGGGGAAAUGGCGGGAAACUGAGGAGAAAAUGGCGGGAAACUGGGGGGGAAAAGGCGGGAAACGUGACGGAGAAAAGGGCGGGAAAUGUGAGGAGGGAAAAUGGCCGGAAAAGUGAGGGGAAAAUGGCGGGAAUUGUGAGGGGAAAGGGUGGGAAAUGUGAGGGGAAAAUGGCGGAAAACGUGAGGGGGGGAAAAGAUGGGAAAUUUGAGGGGGGAAAGGGUGGGAAACUGAGGAGAAAAUGAUGGGAAAAGUGAGGAGAAAAUGGCGGGAAAUGUGAGGAGAAAAGGGUGGGAAACGUGACAGGGAAAAGGGUGGGAAAUGUGAGGAGAAAAGGGCGGGAAAUGUGAGGGAGAAAAUGGUGGAAAAAGUGAGGGGAAAGGGCGGGAAAAGUGAGGGGGAAAUGGCAGAAAAUGGGAGGGGGAAAAUGGCGGGAAAUGUGAGGGGGAAAAGGUGGAAAAAGUGAGGGGAAAGGACGGGAAAUGUGAAGGGAAAAUGGUGGGAAAUGUGAGGGGGAAAGAUGGGAAAUAUGAGGGGGAAAAGUGAGGGGAAUGUGAGGGGGAAAAUGGCGGGAAAUGUGAGGAGAAAAUGGCGGGAAGUGUGAGGGGAAAAUGGUGGGAAAUGUGAGGGGAAAGGGUGGGAAAAGUGAGGAGAAAAUGGCAGAAAUGGGAGGGGGAAAUGGCGGGAAAAGUGAGGGGAAAAUGGCGGGAAAUGUGAGGGAAAAUGGCGGGAAAUGUGAGGGGAAAAUGGCAGGAAAUGUGAGGGGAAAAGGGCAGGAAAUGUGAGGGGAAAGGGUGGGAAAAUUGAGGAGAAAAUGGCAGAAAAUGGGAGGGGGAAAUGGCAGGAAAUGUCAGGGGAAAAUGGUGGGAAAUGUGAGGGGAAAGGGCGGGAAAUGUGAGGGGAAAAUGGCGGGAAAUGCGAGGGAAAAUGGCGGGAAAUGUGAGGGGAAAAGGGUGGGAAACGUGAGGGGAAAGGGCGGGAAAACUGAGGGGAAAAGGCGGGAAAUGUGAGGGGAAAAAUGGCGGAAAAUGUGAGGGGAAAAUGGCGGGAAACAUGAGGGGGAAAAGAUGGGAAAUAUGAGGGGGGAAAGGGAUGGAAAUGUGAGGGGGAAAAUGGCGGUAAAUGUGAGGGGAAAAGGCGGGAAAUUUGAGGGGGAAAGGGGUGGGAAACUGAGGAGAAAAUGGUGGGAAAAGUGAGGGGGAAAAGGCGGGAAAUGCGAGGAAAAAUGGCGGGAAAUGUGAGGAGAAAAGGGUGGGAAACGUGACAGGGAAAAGGGUGGGAAAUG